rnacentral:sRNA from 12 species
UGGGCUGGUCGGAAGACCUUGGUCCACCUGGACGGCGGGGCAAGCCCCC